GAUGAACGCUGGCGGCGUGCUUAACACAUGCAAGUCGAACGGUGAAGGCGGAGCUUGCUCUGCUGGUUCAGUGGCGACCGGGUGAGUAACACGUGAGCAAUCUGCCCCUGACUCUGGGAUACGCGCUGGAAACGGCGUCUAAUACUGGAUACGAGCUGCGAAGGCAUCUUCAGCAGCUGGAAAGAAUUUCGGUCAGGGAUGAGCUCGCGGCCUAUCAGCUUGUUGGUGAGGUAAUGGCUCACCAAGGCGUCGACGGGUAGCCGGCCUGAGAGGGUGACCGGCCACACUGGGACUGAGACACGGCCCAGACUCCUACGGGAGGCAGCGGUGGGGAAUAUUGCACAAUGGGCGAAAGCCAGAUGCAGCAACGCCGCGUGGGGGACGACGGCCUUCGGUUUGUAAACCUCUUUUAGCAGGGAAGAAGCGAAAGUGACGGUACCUGCAGAAAAAGCGCCGGCUAACUACGUG
rnacentral:rRNA from 1 species